AUUGCAGAGCACCCAGAAUGAGCACAUUUCCUCUGGUGUCCACUCUGAUUGCACAUCAGAAUCACCUGGGAGCUCUUACAACAAAGGUCCUGAAUUGGCCUCCCUGAAAACACAAUUUUUGGCUUGAGAUUCAGCCACUCAAGGUUUCCCGAUUUUUUUAACGUCCUAAGACAAUCUCCCCAUUGACCUGCGGAGAAAACCAAUCUGCAUUCACUUGGGGGGAGACUUACAAAAACUUUAUCAAAAAACUAAGGCAUUAAAGAAUCAGCUACCUGACUCAAGAACAAAUUAAAUUUCUCCACCAAAAGCUCAAAGCCUAGGAAUAAAAAUGUGUGAGACACAGCC